rnacentral:rRNA from 1 species
AACGAACGCUGGCGGCAGGCUUAACACAUGCAAGUCGAGCGCCCCGCAAGGGGAGCGGCAGACGGGUGAGUAACGCGUGGGAAUCUACCCAUCUCUACGGAAUAACGCAUGGAAACGUGUGCUAAUACCGUAUACGUCCUUCGGGAGAAAGAUUUAUCGGAGAUGGAUGAGCCCGCGUUGGAUUAGCUAGUUGGUGGGGUAAAGGCCUACCAAGGCGACGAUCCAUAGCUGGUCUGAGAGGAUGAUCAGCCACACUGGGACUGAGACACGGCCCAGACUCCUACGGGAGGCAGCAGUGGGGAAUAUUGGACAAUGGGCGCAAGCCUGAUCCAGCCAUGCCGCGUGAGUGAUGAAGGCCCUAGGGUUGUAAAGCUCUUUCACCGGUGAAGAUAAUGACGGUAACCGGAGAAUAAGCACCGGCUAACUCUGUGCCAGCAGCCGCCGUAAUAC